rnacentral:rRNA from 1 species
ACUGAGUGGCGGACGGGUGAGUAACGCGUGGGCAACCUGCCCCAUACAGGGGGAUAACAGCCGGAAACGGCUGCUAAAACCGCAUAAGCGCACAAGGGCCGCAUGGCCUGGUGUGAAAAACUCCGGUGGUAUGGGAUGGGCCCGCGUCUGAUUAGCUAGUUGGCGGGGGAGAGGCCCACCAAGGCGACGAUCAGUAGCCGACCUGAGAGGGUGGCCGGCCACAUUGGGGCUGAGACACGGCCCAAACUCCUACGGGAGGCAGCAG